UCCUGAUUAGAACUGUAACUGUUCACAAAUGACUUGUGUACACACCAUGAAGGUUACACACACGACAUCCGACACACACACACACACACACACACACACACACACACACACGCACAACAUCGUGUUGUCUGUGAAAUUGAGCUGUAAAUGAUUACAGCACGGUUUCCUCUCGUCUCCCGCAGCGCUCCGCUUUCUCAUGCACACGAAAUAAAGACUGAAGAAAUACAAUAAAGUUUCUGUUCACAAACAGUGAAGGAGUGAAGGGGGGUAAGAGUGAAGGGGUGAAGGAGUGAAGGGGUGAAAGAGUGAAGGAGUGAAGGGGUGAAGGAGUGAAG
ensembl:lncRNA